rnacentral:rRNA from 1 species
AUUGAACGCUGGCGGCAGGCCUAACACAUGCAAGUCGAGCGCGCGGCGGGCGGGGGAGUAAUGUAUGGGGACUGCCAGCUAGAGGGGGGUAACUACUGGAAAAGGUAGGUACUACUGCAUACUAUCGGAUAGCCCAUAUGGGAGUAUCUAGUAGGUUAGGUAAUGGCUCACCUAGGCGACGAUCCCUAGCAGGUCUGAGAGGAUGCUCAGCCACACUGGGAAUGAGACACGGCCCAGACUCCUACGGAGGCAGCAGUGGGGAAUAUUGCACAAUGGGCGCAAGCCUGAUCGAGCCACGCCGCGUGUAUGAAGAAGGCCUUCGGGUUGUAAAGUACUUUCAGUCGAGAGGCGUUACCUACAGAGGAAGCACCGGCUAACUCCGUGCCAGCAGCCGCGGUAAUAC